rnacentral:rRNA from 1 species
AUUGAACGCUGGCGGCAGGCUUAACACAUGCAAGUCGAGCGGGGGAAGGUAGCUUGCUACCGGACCUAGCGGCGGACGGGUGAGUAAUGCUUAGGAAUCUGCCUAUUAGUGGGGGACAACAUUCCGAAAGGAAUGCUAAUACCGCAUACGCCCUACGGGGGAAAGCAGGGGAUCUUCGGACCUUGCGCUAAUAGAUGAGCCUAAGUCAGGUUAGCUAGUUGGUGGGGUAAAGGCCUACCAAGGCGACGACCUGUAGCGGGUCUGAGAGGAUGAUCCGCCACACUGGGACUGAGACACGGCCCAGACUCCUACGGGAGGCAGCAGUGGGGAAUAUUGGACAAUGGGCGAAAGCCUGAUCCAGCCAUGCCGCGUGUGUGGAGAAGGCCUUUUGGUUGUAAAGCACUUUAAGCGAGGAGGAGGCUACUGAGAUUAAUACUCUUGGAUAGUGGACGUUACUCGCAGAACAAGCACCGGCUAACUCUGUGCCAGCAGCCGCGGUAA